AUUAUUUAAGGUCUAGCCUGCCCACUGAAUUAUUUUAAAUGGCCGCAGUAAAUUGACUGUGCAAAGGUAGCAUAAUCAUUAGUUUUUUAAUUAAAAGCUUGUAUGAAUGGUUUGACGAAAUAAAAUCUGUCUCUAAAUAAUAAAAAGAAUUUAAUUUUUAAGUUAAAAAGCUUAAAUUUAAUUAAAAGACGAGAAGACCCUAUAGAUCUUUAUAUUAAAAUUAAUAGUUCUAUUUAAGAUUUUUUACAAAAUUAUUAUUUUUAUUAUUAUAUUGGGGUAAUAGGAAGAUUAAAAAAAUUCUUUUUAAUUUUAAUCAAUAAUAAUUGUUUAAUUGAUCCUUAAAUUAAGAUAAUAAGAUUAAGUUACCUUAGGGAUAACAGCGUAAUUUUUUUAGAGAGUUCUUAUCGAUAAAAAAGUUUGCGACCUCGAUGUUGGAUUAAAAAUUAUUCCAGGUGUAGAAGUUUGGAAACUUUGGUCUGUUCGACCAUUAAAUUUUU
rnacentral:rRNA from 1 species